AAGGAGACUGCUAGGAACGGGUGAACCCUGGGCACGGUUAUUGUGCUUGAAGAGACCUUCACCGCUCUGGGAAGCACAGAACAGGGGUAGACAGCACUUCACCCUGUGCUUGGCUCAGAUGGUUUGCUGUGCCUAACACGAUGUACCUCCCAGGGAGAGCUUAGAGCAUAUAUCAUUUAGGGAACAAAACCAGUGUUACAGCCUGUGCACGUUCGGGGAAGAUGCAGUUCUGUUUCUGAGGACUCUUCCGCUCCUUCUACCCCACUCCUGACACUAUGGAUGGGAGGAUACACAGAGUUUCAUUCGACCCUCUGCACACCAGAUCUUGUCACUAAUCCUCCAGUGACUGUCAGUCUGAGAUGGAACUCUGGCCCUCUGGCCCUUCCUAAGUGCUCCACCACUUAAGGUAAGUGCUCCACCACUGAGGUAAGUGUUCCACCACUAAAGUACGUACUCUAUCACUAAGGUAAAUGCUCCACCACUGAGGUAAGUGCUCCACCACUAAGCGACAGACCAACCUUUUCUGAGAACUUGUAGAGCACCUUGACAUUACUGUGACAUUUAUAUUGUAACUUACAAAAGUUUUGGUUCUUAUGCGGUGAAGAAGAACCCCAACAAUAUUUUAUUAUUGAUCUCAUUUCCUUUUUUUUUUUUUUUGUAAAAAUCCCUGCUGUGUCACUGGAUCAUCAGCAGAUUCCUCAAAUGUUGAAGGAAUUUGCUGCAAAUCAAGCCUCCUGCUUAGUCUGGAGAGAGAAGAAACAGUCUGAAACGAAAACCAGCUCCCAGAACCAGGGACAGCCUGGUCAGAAGUGUCAGCUACUACUGAGAUGCUAGAAGGGCCGACAUUUCCUGAAGAGAUAGACAAAGCCGUCAGGGUGUCCUGGGGACGAAGCUGACAUCACUUUUGGAUAGGAUCCCCUCUGUGGUGUCCCUGCUGCAGAGUACGUUUGCCUUAUGUGGAUUUCCGUUUACAGAAGCCUCUGUCGACAAGGAAGAGAGUCAUGGCUGUCCCUGGAGGCCGUACUUGGAUUGGACAACAUAGGACCCCUCAUGUACCAGCAAAAUACAAGCUAUGGCCAUGGUCAGACGUCACCAAUUUUGAGACCCAGCUCUCUGUUUUAAAGACGUGACAAUGGGAAAGAACUGUGUGUGUGUGUGUGUGUGUUGGAGGAGUAGCUCAGUUGAUAGGCUGCCUGCCUGACCCCUAUGAAAACCUGAAUUCCACCCUCGCCACCUAAUGACGCAGCUGUGACAGACAGACCUCUGAUCCUAGCACUUGGGAAGUGAAGUGGAGGCCGGGAGAACAUCAGGGCUGUCCUCUGCGUAGCCAGCUGAGGAGGUCUGGGCAAUAUGAGACCUUAUGCCCCCCCUCCCAGAGUCUCGAAGAAUCUCUGAUCUCUCUGUAAGA